GUCCUAGCCGUAAACGGUGUGAACUUGGUGUGGGAGGAAUUAUCCCCUUCCGUGCCGUAGCUAACGCGAUAAGUUCACCGCCUGGGGAGUACGGCCGCAAGGCUAAAACUCAAAGGAAUUGACGGGGCCCGCACAAGCGGUGGAGCAUGUGGCUUAAUUCGAUGCAACGCGAAGAACCUUACCUGGGCUUGACAUGUAACUGCAAAAUCCGGUGAAAGCCGGACUCCUUCGAGGGUGUUACACAGGUGCUGCAUGGCUGUCGU
rnacentral:rRNA from 1 species